GGAGGUGAAACUCACGCGCUACCGUAGAAACCCACGGGACGAGAACAGAGUAGAUUACCCCGGUGAUAGGCUCUGUUUCGGUGGUGGCGUCAAGAUUGGCUUUGAUGAUGUCUCUCAGGGCGUUUGAACCACAUCGUUUGAGUUCGGACAUGUAGAUUUUCUGGUCUUCGAAUGACUUGAGACCGUCGUCGAAUCCAUCGGUGAACCAAGCGAAGGA